rnacentral:rRNA from 1 species
CGUAGGUGGCAAGCGUUGUCCGGAUUUACUGGGCGUAAAGCGAACGCAGGCGGGCCUUUAAGUAGGAAGUGAAAGGUUGGAGCUCAACUCUAACACUGCUCCCUAUACUGGAGGUCUUGAGUGGCGGAGAGGAAAACGGAACAAGUUGUGUAGCGGUGAAAUGCGUUGAUAUAACUUGGAACACCAAUGGCGAAAGCAGUUUUCUGGACGCAGACUGACGCUGAGGUUCGAAAGCCAAGGUAGCAAACAGGAUUAGAUACCCUGGUAGUCUUGGCCUUAAACGAUGUUCACUAGGUGUUGGGGGGUAACCCUCGGUGCCGCAGCUAACGCAUUAAGUGAACCGCCUGGGGACUACGGCCGCAAGGUUG